UACGUAGGGGGCGAGCGUUGUCCGGAUUUAUUGGGCGUAAAACGCUUGUAGGUGGCUACGUCAAGUCGGACGUGAAAUCUCCCGGCUUAACUGGGAGGGGUCGCUCGAUACUGGCGAGCUCGAGGCAGGUAGGGGGAAGCGGAAUUCCCGGUGUAGUGGUGGAAUGCGUAGAUAUCGGGAGGAACACCAGUGGCGAAGGCGGCUUACUGGUCCAUUACUGACGCUGAGGUGCGAAAGCGUGGGGAGCAAACAGG
rnacentral:rRNA from 1 species